ACUCCCGGGUGGAAGACUGGUGAUUUUGUUGUUUGAGCUCAUCCAUAACAGCAAAUCCGUAGUCUCCACCUGGCAACUCCUAA
rnacentral:pre_miRNA from 1 species